GACGAACGCUGGCGGCGUGCUUAACACAUGCAAGUCGAGCGGUAAGGCCCUUUCGGGGGUACGACGAGCGGCGAACGGGUAGGAGUAACACGUGGGUGGACCUCGCCUCUAGCUCUGGGAGUAAGCCUGGGAAGGCUGGGUCGUAAUACCGGAUAUGACCUCGCGGUGCAUGUUGCGGGGUGGAAAGCCUUGUGCGGCUAGGGAGUGGGCCCGCGGCCUAUCAGCUUGUUGGUGGGGU
rnacentral:rRNA from 1 species